GAACCAAAAAGGGUUACCCUAUCGGCACAGCUGAAUAACCCUUGUAACGUAUACGCUGGGAGUCGGGAAGCAAGUUUGGGGGAGUGAAUUUAAUAAAUAAAGGAACAUGGAACAAAACAAGAAACACGAGUAGCGUACAGACAUGAAACAGAAACAACAACGCUUGGGGAAAGAACCAAAGAGACUGACAUAUAUAGGGAAGGUAAUCAGGUAGAAGGAACCAAAGGGAGUGACAUAUAUAGGGAAGGUAAUCAGGUAGAAGGAACCAAAGGGAGUGACAUAUUUGGGGAAGGUAAUCAGGUAGAAGGAACCAAAGGGAGUGACAUAUUUAGGGAAGGUAAUCAAGUAGAAGGAACCAAAGAGACAGACAUAUUUAGGGCAGGUAAUCAGGUAGAAAGAACCAAAGGGAGUGACAUAUUUAGGGAAGGUAAUCAAGUAGAAGGAACCAAAGGGAGUGACAUAUUUAGGGAAGGUAAUCAAGUAGAAGGAACCAAAGAGACAGACAUAUUUAGGGAAGGUAAUCAGGUAGAAGGAACCAAAGGGAGUGACAUAUUUAGGGAAUGUAAUCAGGUAGAAGGAACCAAAGGGAGUGACAUAUUUAGGGAAGGUAAUCAGGUAGAAGGAACCAAAGGGAGUGACAUAUUUAGGGAAGGUAAUCAGGUAGAAGGAACCAAAGGGAGUGACAUAUUUAGGGAAGGUAAUCAGGUAGAAGGAACCAAAGGGAGUGACAUAUUUAGGGAAGGUAAUCAGGUAGAAGGAACCAAAGGGAGUGACAUAUUUAGGGAAGGUAAUCAGGCAGGUGAUUGAGUCCAGGUGAGUCUGAUGAGGUGCUGAUGCGCGUAACGAUGGUGACAGGUGUGCGUAAUAAUGAGCAGCCUGACAACCUCGAGCGCAGGAGAGGGAGUAUACGUGACAACCAUUUUUGGGAAAAGAUCAUUGUAAAUGGGGGUCCGGGGGGUCCUCCCCCGUAAUUGGAGGGGUAUUUUGAAAACACAGUAUAAGUGGAAGGCUUGUAUCUCAAACAGACCGUUUCAAAAAUACUUGAUGUCACAUCCUGCUGAGGAGGAUGAGCUGGCCAAUCAGAG
rnacentral:lncRNA from 1 species